rnacentral:misc_RNA from 1 species
GCCUCCCUUGCAGCCUCAUCACUUCAAUUCAAUUCAAAAACAAUUCAAACGCACACAUAAUAGAACAUUUGAUUCUAUAGUCUAUUAAAAUCUGAAGCUUGGAAUUUGCAUGGAUCCAAACUCAACGAGACAGCAGAUUAGAAACAUAUAAUCUAUAAAUUAAUGGUUUUGCCUCUGAAAAUGCAGUAAAAUUAACUAAAGUAUUUGUUGCAUGCAUGCAAGAGAAAUUAUCUUGGCAAACAUGGAUCAUUGAUUUUUAAGCUCUGCAUUGAAUUUUGGUUCGAAUUAACAACAAUGG